rnacentral:misc_RNA from 1 species
AAGUCGUAACAAGGUUUCCGUAGGUGAACCUGCGGAAGGAUCAUUAAUGAAAUUAUGACUGGGGUUGUAGCUGGCCUAUAAAACGGCAUGUGCACGCUCCUUUCACAAUCCACACACACCUGUGCACCUUCGCGGGGGUCUUUCUUUCUCUUCGGGGGAAUAAAGGCUCGCGUCCCUUUACACACCCUUUGUAUGUCUUAAGAAUGUCUACUCGAUGUAAUAAAACGCAUCUAAUACAACUUUCAACAACGGAUCUCUUGGCUCUC